rnacentral:lncRNA from 1 species
UACUUUAGGGUAACUUAGACAUUAAAAUAAAAUUCAGUCUUAGUAUUGUAGGAAAACCUAAACAAUUACAUUCUCCUUAACCUUUUGGCUUUUACAAAUGGAAGAAAAUGUUUUUAUUCUGACUCAGUAGCCUCCAUCCAAGACCAUUAAGAGAACGGGGAGAAAUGUUUAAAUGAGUGAUUAACCAGGUUUUUAUUAAUAGUGCUUUGUUGGCUCUCAAAUUGUUUUCCUCUUGAUCAGUUAGCAAGAGUCAAAGUAAACGGUUCCAAGAAACACUGAAUUUGUUCAUGUUUGUCAGCGGCCCAAACAGCCAAAGUCUUUUAAUUCCUCCAGUUUGGGAAUUGCUGUACCUAAGUGCCUAGUUAUUUCUCAUUUCUUAGUUAAGUCUUAACUAAGGAUUUUUUUUUUUUUUUGCAUCUGUGUUAGUCUAAAUUUUUAUCACCUUCAAUGUAUAUCACUAAUUUAAUUUUUUUUUAGAAUUUUAGGGUUUUUUUUUUUUUUAAGAUUUACUUAUUAUAUGUAAGUACACUGUAGCUGUUUCAGACACUCCAAAAGGAGUCAGAUCUUGUUAUGAAUGGUUGUGAGCUACCAUGUGGUUGCUGGGAUUUGAACUCCGGACCUUCGGAAGAGCAGUCGGGUAUUUCUUGAGCAGCAUGUUGUUAACUAUUCCUCCCAUGAGCUGAACAAAGACCCAGCCAUGCCUGGUGGCGCACACCUUUGAUCCCAGUGCUCAGGAGGCAGAGACAGGAAGAUCUCUGAGUUCAAGGCCAGUGUGGUCUACAAAGUGAGCUCCAAGACAGCCAGGACUAGCUAUACAAAGAUCCUUGU